CAGCCGCCGCGGGAAUACGGAGGGGGCUAGCGUUGUUCGGAAUUACUGGGCGUAAAGCGCACGUAGGCGGCUUGGUAAGUUAGAGGUGAAAGCCUGGAGCUCAACUCCAGAAUUGCCUUUAAGACUGCCGAGCUAGCAGGUGAGAGAGGUAAGUGGAAUUCCGAGUGUAGAGGUGAAAUUCGUAGAUAUUCGGAAGAACACCAGUGGCGAAGGCGGCUUACUGGCUCAUACUGGACGCUGAGGUGCGAAAGCGUGGGGAGCAAACAGGAUUAGAUACCCCUGUAGUCCUUGUCUCUUAUAA
rnacentral:rRNA from 1 species